UACAGAGGUGGCAAGCGUUGUUCGGAAUUACUGGGCGUAAAGGGCGCGUAGGCGGUUCGUUAAGUCCUGUGUGAAAUCCCCCCGGCUCAACUGGGGAACUGCACAGGAAACUAGCGGGCUUGAGUUCGGGAGAGGGAAGCGGAAUUCCGGGUGUAGCGGUGAAAUGCGUAAAUAUCCGGAGGAACACCGGUGGCGAAGGCGGCUUCCUGGACCGACACUGACGCUGAGGCGCGAAAGCUAGGGGAGCAAAC
rnacentral:rRNA from 1 species